ensembl:lncRNA
GAUUGAUUUUUGAGGAAUGGGACUUGCGGUCCAGUGUUAUUUGUCAGGCUACAUGAUUCCUUCCCCUGUUUUAAAGAAACGGAUUGGUAGCCAGUGGAGCUGCCGCAACAUGGAAGUUGUCUGCUCUCUGUACAGCACUCCAGUUAAUAAUCUGGCUGCCAAUCUCUGGACCAGUUGAAGUUUCCAAACUAUCUUCAAAGGCAACCCCAUUACAAGGUAAGUAAGGCUGAUAUUUCACAUUGGUUCAGAAUACACUCAAUGCAUUUUGUGAUAGAGGAAUACAAUUCCAGGUGAUGAUACUUGUUUAAAAUUAUAUUGUUUUAUCAGUAGAAUGUCAAUCAUUUCACCCUCACAAUGCCAUUUGGGUUAUUUAACUUGUGUUGUUGUUUCCUAGUUUUUUGUUGCUGGCUACCUGCUGAUUUUUGAAGCUUACUUACAACUUGAGCAAAAGACACAUUUAGUAUUUGCAUGUAUUUAAAUCAGGUGACAUGGAAAUCAGUAAAACCUAAGAAGUUUAAAGAGUUGAAUUUCAUCUCACUGCUUUCUGGGGGAAUCUAAAGCUGCAAUGGGGGAUAUGGAAAGGGAUGCUCUUUCUUUGGCUCAUUCAUUAAAUAAUCCUGGGCUUUGUCAAAUGCUGGCCUAGUACAUGUGGAACAAGGGAAGGGCAGGGAGGAGACUUUAGAUUGCUGGGGGCAGAAUGUCAAGACUUAUGGGCUCUUCCGCUUGAAUGAAGUUGAGAAAAUGGAUUGUUACCAAGGCUGCUCUUUUCACAGCCAGCUUCAGGGCAUGGUAGACCCUCCACCGCGAAAAGGAGCCUUCCGUCUGGUAAAUUGAUGCACUGCCUCCAUGACAGCAGUGAAUUCGAGGUGCAAGGUCUUUGCUUCUUUUAGCUGCAGGCUUGGAUCACUUCACAUUCCAUGCAGCCUGAGACAAGGGAAAAGAGAGAGAUAGAGAAACAAAUACUUUUGAGGGCAAAGUGUGUUUCAUUCAAACAAGAUCCUGCAAACAAGGGAGCUCUACUUUUAGGCAGAGUAAGGGGGAUACCUUAGGGAUCAAUAUUUUGGGUGUCAUGACAAGGCAAGUAAUUGUCAAUUGUUUAAUUUUUUAAAAUGUACUACUAGAGAGGGAGAAAGGUCAAGAGACCUUUCAUGAUUGUAUGGUUAUAGAUAUUAUAGUGCUUUUCCAAUCCAGAAAUAGUAGCAGUAACAACUAAAGCACAUCAAAACAUUGUUUUAAAAUUUUGUUGUUUUUUUUUUAAAAAAAAAACACAACUACAAUAACGGCAAAUAUUAAUAUAUUUCACAAUAUCUAAUUCUGCAACACAUUUGGAACAGAUAACCAUGGAACAAAACAGAGAACAUACAUUGUUCUUUUACUUCAAUCAAUAUCAGUGAAAGGAACAGACAAAACCACCUCUGAGUAUUCCUUGCCUCAGAAAUCCCUAUGAAAAUACGGAUACCAUAAGUUGACAGACAACUUGAAGGCACAUGAACACAUGUACUUUUACCCUACAAACAAAAUGGCUUACAAUAAAUAAUGGUUUCAAGA